UCAAUAGGACAGGAAGCUGAGAUCAUCUGUUUGUCCACAGGACGAGGAGGAACCAAGGCCCAGCCAGCCAGCGCUUUCCCACACUGUUCCGCUGGUGACCCUCAACCCUACACCAGCACGAAGAGGAAGUCAAGCUCAGCCUCCCCCGACACUUUCUUUUUCAUUCUUUU
rnacentral:sRNA from 1 species